AAAUUGAAGAGUUUGAUCAUGGCUCAGAUUGAACGCUGGCGGCAGGCCUAACACAUGCAAGUCGAACGGUAACAGGAAGCAGCUUGCUGCUUUGCUGACGAGUGGCGGACGGGUGAGUAAUGUCUGGGAAACUGCCUGAUGGAGGGGGAUAACUACUGGAAACGGUGGCUAAUACCGCAUAACGUCGCAAGACCAAAGAGGGGGACCUUCGGGCCUCUUGCCAUCAGAUGUGCCCAGAUGGGAUUAGCUUGUUGGUGAGGUAACGGCUCACCAAGGCGACGAUCCCUAGCUGGUCUGAGAGGAUGACCAGCCACACUGGAACUGAGACACGGUCCAGACUCCUACGGGAGGCAGCAGUGGGGAAUAUUGCACAAUGGGCGCAAGCCUGAUGCAGCCAUGCCGCGUGUAUGAAGAAGGCCUUCGGGUUGUAAAGUACUUUCAGCGGGGAGGAAGGUGUUGUGGUUAAUAACCGCAGCAAUUGACGUUACCCGCAGAAGAAGCACCGGCUAACUCCGUGCCAGCAGCCGCGGUAAUACGGAGGGUGCAAGCGUUAAUCGGAAUUACUGGGCGUAAAGCGCACGCAGGCGGUCUGUCAAGUCGGAUGUGAAAUCCCCGGGCUCAACCUGGGAACUGCAUUCGAAACUGGCAGGCUUGAGUCUUGUAGAGGGGGGUAGAAUUCCAGGUGUAGCGGUGAAAUGCGUAGAGAUCUGGAGGAAUACCGGUGGCGAAGGCGGCCCCCUGGACAAAGACUGACGCUCAGGUGCGAAAGCGUGGGGAGCAAACAGGAUUAGAUACCCUGGUAGUCCACGCCGUAAACGAUGUCUACUUGGAGGUUGUGCCCUUGAGGCGUGGCUUCCGGAGCUAACGCGUUAAGUAGACCGCCUGGGGAGUACGGCCGCAAGGUUAAAACUCAAAUGAAUUGACGGGGGCCCGCACAAGCGGUGGAGCAUGUGGUUUAAUUCGAUGCAACGCGAAGAACCUUACCUGGUCUUGACAUCCACGGAAGUUUUCAGAGAUGAGAAUGUGCCUUCGGGAACCGUGAGACAGG
rnacentral:rRNA from 2 species